CUCUGUGCAUGUUCUCGUUUGUGGCUGUUUAAAUGGUAAUCAGGUGUCUGGAAUCGUGUUGUUUGUGUUCGCAGCUGAAGAAGGACGAGACGCAGAUAUACAGCGUGACUCUGGAGGAGGAUCAGCCUGUCAGGAACCUGAAACCGGCUGUGGUUAAAGUCUACGAUUACUACCAGACAAGCGAUGAGGCGGUCACCGACUACACGUCCGCCUGUGCAGAAAGCGACGGCGUCAACGAGCUGUAACGUCCAAACCCUGUGACGCUGCGACGGGAAGUGUUUCAGACGGAAGAAUCACUGUGUCAAAGAAAGAAACUUCUAGGUGUUUAUUUUGUUUCUUAGACCGUUUCUUUAACUUUUUUACUUUCUUUUUAGACGUGUUUCAUUGAGAGCGAAUCCCACUUGGUGUUAAUUCUAGGUGCAAAUUUGAUCUUUUAUUUUUAGCUUUUGAUUGUUUUGUUUUUUUUUUGUUCUACUUCUGUUCGGUGGUAGGGGUUCUGUUGUCCUGCAGAUUACGACGAAACCAAUAAUCAGUCAGAAUCCAUACGGUAGUUAGAGCUGCGUCUCACUGUAACACUGGAACCUGCACAUUAUAACCCUCUGAAUCCAAGUACAGCAGCCAAAAGCUCUGUGAUAGAUGUUUUUAAUAGAUUUGACAAAAUCCAUAUUAUUCAUACAUGAAAGUGACGCAUGAGACAUACAGGGUACCAAUAACAGUAUGGUCCGAGUACUGAGUGUGUGAGUGUGUGUGUGUGUGUGUGACAGGAUCUACUCUCUAGAAAAAAGCAAAAGUACAGUCUCAUGAGUGCUAGGUGAGUUAUUCUUGGUGUGUGUGUGUGUGUGUGUGUUGUGUGUGUGUGUGUGUGUUCUGCUGUACCAGUAAAAAGAAUAAAACAAAUUAAAACAAGGUAGCUCGAUACAUCACUACCAUACAGUUUGAAAUGUAACUGACUGACAAUAAAAUUUCUAAAAUGACAAAAA